AUUGAACGCUGGCGGCAGGCCUAACACAUGCAAGUCGAGCGGAUGAAGGGAGCUUGCUCCUGGAUUCAGCGGCGGACGGGUGAGUAAUGCCUAGGAAUCUGCCUGGUAGUGGGGGAUAACGUCCGGAAACGGGCGCUAAUACCGCAUACGUCCUGAGGGAGAAAGUGGGGGAUCUUCGGACCUCACGCUAUCAGAUGAGCCUAGGUCGGAUUAGCUAGUUGGUGGGGUAAAGGCCUACCAAGGCGACGAUCCGUAACUGGUCUGAGAGGAUGAUCAGUCACACUGGAACUGAGACACGGUCCAGACUCCUACGGGAGGCAGCAGUGGGAAAUAUUGGACAAUGGGCGAAAGCCUGAUCCAGCCAUGCCGCGUGUGUGAAGAAGGUCUUCGGAUUGUAAAGCACUUUAAGUUGGGAGGAAGGUCAGUAAGUUAAUACCUUGCUGUUUUGACGUUACCAACAGAAUAAGCACCGGCUAACUUCGUG
rnacentral:rRNA from 1 species